rnacentral:rRNA from 1 species
CCUACGGGAGGCAGCAGUGGGGAAUAUUGGGGAAUGGGCGCAAGCCUGACCCAGCAACGCCGCGUGAAGGAAGAAGGCUUUCGGGUUGUAAACUUCUUUUAAGGGGGAAGAGCAGAAGACGGUACCCCUUGAAUAAGCCACGGCUAACUACGUGCCAGCAGCCGCGGUAAUACGUAGGUGGCAAGCGUUGUCCGGCUUUACUGGGUGUAAAGGGCGUGCAGCCGGAGAGACAAGUCAGAUGUGAAAUCCACGGGCUCAACCCGUGAACUGCAUUUGAAACUGUUUCCCUUGAGUGUCGGAGAGGUAAUCGGAAUUCCUUGUGUAGCGGUGAAAUGCGUAGAUAUAAGGAAGAACACCAGUGGCGAAGGCGGAUUACUGGACGAUAACUGACGGUGAGGCGCGAAAGCGUGGGGAGCAAACAGGAUUAGAUACCCCUGUAGUC